GAUGAACGCUGGCGGCGUGCCUAAUACAUGCAAGUCGAGCGAACAGAUGAGGAGCUUGCUCCUCUGACGUUAGCGGCGGACGGGUGAGUAACACGUGUAUAACCUACCUAUAAGACUGGUAUAACUUCGGGAAACCGGAUCUAAUACCGGAUAAUAUAUUGAACCGCAGGGUUCAAUAGUGAAAUACGGUUUUGCUGUCACUUCUAGAUGGAUCCGCGCCUCAUUAGCUAGUUGGUAAGGUAACGGCUUACCAAGGCAACGAUGCGUAGCCGACCUGAGAGGGUGAUCGGCCACCCUGGAAGUGAGACACGGUCCAGACUCCUACGGGAGGCGGCAGUAGGGAAUCUUCCGCAAUGGGCGAAAGCCUGACGGCGCAACGCCGCGUGAGUGAUGAACGUCGUCGGAUCGUAAAACUCUGUUAUUAGGGAAGAACAAAUGUGUAAGUAACUAUGCACGUCUUGACGGUACCUAAUCAGAAAGCCACGGCUAACUACGUG
rnacentral:rRNA from 1 species